rnacentral:rRNA from 1 species
UACGGAGGGGGCAAGCGUUGUUCGGAAUCAUUGGGCGUAAAGGGCGCGUAGGCGGCCUGUCAAGUCGGGUGUGAAAUCCCUCGGCUCAACCGAGGAACCGCACUCGAUACUGUCGGGCUAGAGUCCGGGAGGGGAUGGUGGAAUUCCCAGUGUAGCGGUGAAAUGCGUAGAUAUUGGGAAGAACACCGGUGGCGAAGGCGGCCAUCUGGACCGGAACUGACGCUGAGGCGCGAAAGCUAGGGGAGCGAAUGGG